rnacentral:misc_RNA from 1 species
GGCCGGGCGCGGUAGCUCACGCCUGUAAUCCUAGCACUUUGGGAGGCUGAGGCGGGUGGAUCACCUGAGAUCAGGAGUUCAAGACCAGCCUGGCCAACAUGGUGAAACCCCGUCUCUACU